GGGGAUAUAGCUCAAGUGGAAGAGCACAUGCUUAGCAUACACAAGGUCCUGGGUUCAAUCCCCGGUACCGCCU
rnacentral:tRNA from 1 species